GACGAACGCUGGCGGCGUGCUUAACACAUGCAAGUCGAAGAUAGUGGCGAACGGGUGAGUAAUACGUGGGUAACCUGCCCUCCUUUUUGGGAUAAGCCUUGGAAACGGGGUCUAAUACCGUAUAAAGGGGGAUGGGCUAGGGGCCUAUCAGCUUGUUGGUGGGGUGAUGGGCUAACAAGGCGGUGACGGGUAGCCGGCCUGAGAGGGUGACCGGCGACAUUGGGACGGAGAGACGGCCUAGAGUACUACGCAGGGGAGCAUUGGGGGAAAUGGCACAAUGGGCGAAAGCGUGAUGCAGCGAGGCCGCGUGGGGGAUGAAGGCCUUAGGGUUGUAAUGCUAUUGCGCUAUCGAACGGGUAGGUGGAGAAGAAGCGCCGGCUAACUACGUGUCAGCAGCCGCGGUAAUAC
rnacentral:rRNA from 1 species